AGAGACAGGUGAAUCAUCGAAUCUUUGAACGCACAUUGCGCCCUUUAGUAUUCUGAAGGGCAUGCCUGUUCGAGCGUCAUUAGCACUAAUCAAGCCCGGCUUGCUGUUGGACCUCUUGUCGUUAAAAGACAGGUCCUAAAGAUAAUGACGGCGUCAGUUGGACCCUAGAUGCAACGAGCUUUAACUAGCACGCAAUUUAGUUGGCCCUUUUGACCCGGUCUUUUUAUAACCAUUUUCUUAAGGUUGACCUCGGAUCAGGUAGGAAUACCCGCUGAACUUAAGCAUAUCAAUAAGCGGAGG
rnacentral:misc_RNA from 1 species